rnacentral:rRNA from 1 species
CGUGUAGGCGGCGUGGCAAGUCGGGCGUGAAAGCCCACGGCUCAACCGUGGAAGAGCACUCGAAACUGCUGCGCUAGAGUUCUGGAGAGGAAGGCGGAAUGCUUGGUGUAGAGGUGAAAUUCGUAGAUAUCAAGCGGAACACCGGUGGCGAAGGCGGCCUUCUGGACAGUGACUGACGCUGAAACGCGAAAGCGUGGGGAGCAAACAGGAUUAGAUACCCUGGUAGUCCACGCCGUAAACGAUGGGUGCUAGGUGUCGCGGGCUUUGACCCUCGCGGUGCCGCAGCUAACGCGUUAAGCACCCCGCCUGGGGAGUACGGCCGCAAGGCUAAA